rnacentral:lncRNA from 1 species
GAGAGACGGCAUUGUUGACAGCUUACAAGUGACUUAUGAGCUGGUGAUAUCCUGAAUCAUUUGUAGUUACGUGUGCUUUUGCGAGAUGCCAUAACCAAUCCUCUGUUCCUGGUGCAGGUGGAAGAAACACCCUUUUGUUUUCUGACUUGGAGGAAGAAUCCGGUGGCAAGCUCAACUCGAUGGCAAUAGGCUUUAGAGUUCCAUCCGCUUUGAGGUACAGUAGAGUUCUGGAUGCGUAAGCGUGGAUUUCCUUGAUGCUGUUGAUUUUGGUCAAGUAAGGCAAGUAUGCAUCAUGGUAGUCUAAGAUGAAUAGCUUCUUGUUCUCAAGUGCCUGCUCAUAUGAGUCAGUAAAAAUCGUCACCAAGUUCCAUUUUUCUUACUUGCUGGACUGUGUUUCCUUCAAGCUGAGAGACAAUAUGUUCUUCUGUAAUGGCUGACUUUUGUGUUCCGUAUACUGCUGGGUCCAGCGUGCUUUCUGGUGGAAAAACCUGCAUACAGCGGGUCAUUUUUCUUACCAGCAUUUUGAAACUAGAUUACCUCUAGUAGCUGAAUCGCCAUGGGGUUUAGUCCGCUGAUCAUCUGCCUUGCGAAUUCGGCGUCGGACAUCCAUCCUUUCUCGUUGGCUGUAGAAAUCAGUUUUCGCAUCAGAAAAAUCGCAGAGGUGAACUUACUAAUUACCUUUGAUAACCGUAGGUAUUGGAUACAUCAGCAAGCUUCCACUGUCUCCAGUCGACAGGCUUUGGACAACCUCAGCUGGAUCAAGAAUGUCGUCGUCUCGUUUGCACUUGCUCAUAUCAACUCCUUCCACGUACAGAUUUUGCACUUCACCAAAGCUAUCAAACGUUUCAUCUGCUGUGAAUGUGCUUUCCAGGUUUGGGAUCAGGCUCUGUGCCGCGGCUUUUAUGGCGGCCGUUAGGAAGUUGGACUCCUUAGUUGUGCCAAAUCGUUCAUCACUCGGUAUGUAGUAAUUCCCUGCUGCCUGGCUCUCGGUAGCUUUAUCUGGAAAGCAGUGCUUAGCACAGCUAUUAAUAUUACUAGUGUAAAGCACUCACCUGUUUCCUCUGGAUCUCGUCCAGUUCGACACCGUCGUGGAUACGGAAAUUCUGCAGAACCCCCGAGUGUAGGCCGCUGGAGGGACUUGUCAGUAUCCGGUUUCCCAAGAUCAUUGUAAGUGGCGUAGUCAUAUAUUCGUUCCCAGACUUUUCUUUCACCUGUUCCAUUGCCUCUCAGGUUCAAAAGCUCCUGAUUCCGAGCGUCAACAAGGCCGGCCGGUGUGUCCUUGGGAAGAGUCAGCUACGCGCACAAAUGAAGAUGGAACAUUAGUACCCUGUGACGGCGGACGAAAGAAUGAAACUUACGUGGUUACUGAAGAAGAUGCGGUCGUUUGGAUACCGGGACACAUUGUACACCCAGGAAUUGCAGGGGAAUUCUAUAACUUGUUGCUGAGGCAGCUCGAGUGUUAGAGAUUUGAGGUAGAACUCGUUCGGGUGCUUGUUUCUGAUGGUGAAGGCACCGGGAACUCCAAAGUCGUCGCCGAUCUCGAACUUAACAUUCAACUCGACAUCUUCAGUUGCCCGCAAUCCUCCAGACACCAGCCAGCCGCCAGCAGCAGCUCGUUUGGACAGUGUUAAUUUCUUGGUUCC